rnacentral:rRNA from 1 species
CUGGCGGCGUGCCUAAUACAUGCAAGUCGAACGGUCUUUCUAUGGAAGCUUGCUUCCACUGAGAAGAUAGUGGCGAACGGGUGAGGUAACAACGUGGGUAACCUGCCCAUAAGAGGGGGGAUAACAUCCGGAAACGGGUGCUAAUACCGCAUAGUUUUCUUGAUCGCAUGAUCGGGAAAGGAAAGACGGCCUUUGUGCUGUCGCUUAUGGAUGGACCCGCGGCGUAUUAGUUAGUUGGUGAGGUAACGGCUCACCAAGACGAUGAUACGUAGCCGACCUGAGAGGGUGAUCGGCCACAUUGGGACUGAGACACGGCCCAAACUCCUACGGGAGGCAGCAGUAGGGAAUCUUCCGCAAUGGACGAAAGUCUGACGGAGCAACGCCGCGUGAGUGAAGAAAGGGUUUUCGGAUCGUAAAACUCUGUUGUCAGAGAAGAACAAGUUGGAGAGUAACUGCUCCAGCCUUGACGGUAUCUGACCAGAAAGCCACGGCUAACUACGUGCCAGCCGCAGC